rnacentral:lncRNA from 1 species
GUGGUCAAAGGUUUCUUUUGUGUCCAAAACACCCAGACGGUCUGAUUUCAACCAUGCAUGUGCUUCUGGGUGAAUGCAGAUGCUGUUUGCUUCAUGUGAAUAGGAGCAAAGCCCAAGGAGAGGACACCUUCACCCUCCAACCCUUCUGAGUAAAACGGAGAUCCUAUCCCUAAAGCAAGGCUCCAAGUCAAUGGGCCUGUGCACAAUAGAAGAACAUCUGGCCUCGGGGACACGUUUACCUCUAGGCAAAGAGCAGGAGCGCAGUAUUGAGUAUUGUUGUAAACAAUACCAUUUGGAAACCUGGUUCCGCUCCUGUGAGUCCAGCAAACGCCUCAAAGACGCCCUUUUAGGAUUUCUUUAAAUUAAUCUGAGACAACGUGGGAAUACUCUCUAUAUAGUAUCUAGCCUACUGGAUAUGUGGUUUUUGUUGUUGUUGUUGUUUGUUUUAUUUUUAUUUUUGGCACGGCACUGAAGUCUGUGUAAAUAAAAGGCCCAGAUAAACUCGGCGAUGGGCCUUUCUGUCAAAACCAGGCUGGCUUUACAUGGCAAAACCAGGGCCUUACGUGUUUGGACACCUGACUUUCCAUGUCGCCCGUAAAAUCGCUGGAACAAUGCCAACAUUGAAGUCCUCGGUUGGAGUCUGCACAGUUGGAGAUCUUUGGUGCCAUUUUAGACAUCUUUGGAUUUCAUCAAUCAAACUGACUGCAAUUUUCCAUAAAAACCCUGAAUUUGGGUCAGAAAGUGGGCAAAGUAGAUAAAGAUCAUUCGAGCUGUCUUAUAAGAUGAUAAAUAGAUAUCCUUUCAGGCCAACAAUGCCAAAGUGCAGUUUUGUGAUUCCCUUCCAUGGGUUCUGAAUGCAGUGAGUCGAAACGAUUUCUACAUGUUUUCCCAUGGUUUAGGAGGUGUCUUUACAUACUUGUCAAUAGUAGCCUGACCUUUUUCCCCAUGGAGUUGCUAAGUGUGUUUUGUUUGUUGCUUUGAGUACUUUUUUCUUGUUGUUUGUGUGUGUGUUGCACAAAAUACACAAGAAAAUAAAGGUUUUUUUUCUUUUAUUGCUCAAAUCAAUAGGAUAUGGGUCUGAUCUAGAUAAUUCUCUGCAUAUAGACUGGUUUCAGUAGCCCUUGAGUUCAUGUAGAAAUUCCAUUUGCUCUGCAGUUGCUCUUGAGGCACUUUGGACACCAUUUUGGGCACCAUGCUGGGAUGUAAACUCACUUUCUUAACAACAACAACAACAACAACAACAGCCCACUGGCACUGUGUCCUUCCUAUUCUUGAACUUGACAAAUGGCCUUUUGUAUAAGGUGAAUAAAAGGAAAUCCUAAAAAAAAAAUAUAGCAAAAAGAAAUCCCAAAAUGACAUUUAACCUACUACCUCCAGAGAUCUUUCAAAAUGUUAGCUGAAAUAAUUUCUGAGUGAAUAAGAACAUUUUAUGCUGUGUAUUCAGCAUAUAUCACAUGCCACUUCCUACUGUCUUAGUUUAAUUCCCCAUCUUUUGAAUCUUCUUGACCCUCCUCCUCAACAUGUUUUCAUACUGAUAGUCCUUUCACUCAAUGUCUGAGUUAACCAGGUAUUUUAAAAGGCUCUUGAAGAAUUACUGGUUCUUCAUGGAGAAACUAUGCUUGCCAUUCUUGGUUAUUUAAGAAUUAAUGAUCUGCUGUGUUCUCAUAAACUCAUAGAUCUUGUGGGGGCAUACACAAUUAUGCAGCAAAUAUAUUUAUUUUUCUUGAUAUAAGAUUCCCCCCCAUAUCCAUCACACACACAUCAUCUCUUUUUCUGUGUUUUGCUUUUCCAAACUCCUUAAAUAUCAACUGUAUGUUACAAAGCAUCUAUAGAAGAGAGUAUAGUGCAGUGGGAGUUAAUUACUGUUAUUAACUUACUGGCUUUAUUAGUUUUGAAUGAAGCAUGUAGCUGUGGCUACAGUUAUUUAAACACUCUUUAUUAGCUAAAAUAAUUUGCAAUUUUUGGACAUACACUCACCAUGUAAGAUUUAAAAUAGCAAUUGGAGAUUCAGCAACAAUUCUCACCUCUCAUUUGUCUUUAGUAAAUCUUGCUGUUAAGUACUAAACAUUUUAACUUAACAUACAGCUAUCUGAAUGACCCUUUAUCUCAUUCUUUCACUGCCAUUUUAUUAUCAAUUUUACAUUUCAUAUGGUGAAAACAUCUAUUAAGUGACAAUCUAAUAUUUGAAGCAUUUUCUCUAUUUCAAAAAGACCAUUGCAAACAGCAAAUUUAUGAAGGUAGAAAGCACAAUUAUUAUAAUUAUCUAAAACAAAACAUAUUUAAAUAUAGUUAAUAGUCUUCCUAUUGCCCUCUUUCUUUUUCACUCCUGAUAUUCAUUUAAUCACAUCUAUGGUAUCCAUGCAAUCUAUUUAGUAAGUAAGAGGGACGGGGGCAAGUAGAAUAGAAAAACCAAAAGUUGAAUUUUGUUAGUCACUUCCAAUCAGGAUAAAUCAUAAAAGCUUAUCUGAAAUCAUUAUAUAGAAAAAGAAAUGGUAGAAUUUUGUUCACCAUUGAAGUCUGUUUGACAUAGCUUCUUUCAGGAAUCAAUUUACCACACUGAAUAGUCACAUAAAAUUUUUGUUUUGGAAUUUUAACAUGUUUGGUACAUACAGUAAGAGCCAUUUGAUUACUGUCAUUGUUGGUGAGAGCAGAGGCCCUGUUAAUUAACAGAAAAAUGUCAAGCAGUUAUAUGCAGUGCACUGUGCUCUAUAAAUAUAGUGCAAAGGACCAAUAGUGAAGCAUAAACUUAAAGCUUCAGAUUUGAAAUGACAUUCUGGAAACAUAUAUUUGAGUCUGUGACCAGGGAUGAACUAAUUUGGGCUCUGUCAUGUGCUGGUUCUCCUAUGCAUCAGAAAUGUAGGCCAGAGAAGGAAUAUCUGGAUCGGUGUGACUUCCCAUUUUUUAAAUGAGAAAACAACCUGCACAGGUAAAAUGGUGGUCAUAAUGUACUCAUGGCAGUGCACCUGUAGCUUUUUCCCCUCCUCCUCUUCUGUUCCUUAUCAUCUGUAAGUUACUAAAUCAGGGACUGCUUUCUUUAAUUUUGUUUCCCAUAUCCACCAGAAACAAACAAACAACAAAAAACCAAAAGAAAGAAAGAAAGAAAAGAAAGAAAGAAAGAAAGAGAAAGACAAAAAAGAUUCCCCAAAGGCAUUUACAUCCAGUUCUAGCGGCAACCUCCUCCCACUUACAGCAUGCCUUUAAUAAGCUAAUGCCUGCACAGGCCAAAGGAAGCACAAGGUCAGUUAAAUCAAUGCCAACAGCCCAUUUGGGGAGUUAGGCUACAGUUCUCCUUUCAUGGUAGAUUUUUGUUCUUGAGAAUUAUCUGGAUAGUUCCCUGAGUAUUUCCAUUUCUAUUUCCUUACUUACAAUAAAAUGAAGGAAAUGAAAAUGUUCCAAAAUAACAGCAACAACAAUAAUAACAAAAAAACAAAAACAAAAAGACCCCAAAACCUGUGAGGUCUAUGCCCUUACAUACAAAGAGGGGAAAUAAACAACCCAGGUGAGUGGAAAAGAAGGUAUUUGGAGCCCCAGUUUUCCAGCCUGCCUGUAGAUAAAUCCUGACGUUAUUACGUAAUUCAUGCCAUCUUAUGCUUCUCUCAGUAACUACCAUGAACAUCCUAAGCAAUCCUUAUAGGAUUCGCUUCAUAUCCUAAUAUCCUAAUACUUCAUAUCCUAAAAUUCCAAUAUUUUAAUCCAUCACUUGACAUAAAUCCAUAAUUUUACGAUUAUCA